GAGUGAGUGGCGAACUGGUGAGUAACACGUGGGAAACCUGCCCAGAAGCGGGGGAUAACACCUGGAAACAGAUGCUAAUACCGCAUAACAACUUGGACCGCAUGGUCCGAGCUUGAAAGAUGGCUUCGGCUAUCACUUUUGGAUGGUCCCGCGGCGUAUUAGCUAGAUGGUGGGGUAACGGCUCACCAUGGCAAUGAUACGUAGCCGACCUGAGAGGGUAAUCGGCCACAUUGGGACUGAGACACGGCCCAAACUCCUACGGGAGGCAGCAGUAGGGAAUCUUCCACAAUGGACGAAAGUCUGAUGGAGCAACGCCGCGUGAGUGAAGAAGGGUUUCGGCUCGUAAAACUCUGUUGUUAAAGAAGAACAUAUCUGAGAGUAACUGUUCAGGUAUUGACGGUAUUUAACCAGAAAGCCACGGCUAACUACGUGCCAGCAGCCGCGGUAAUACGUAGGUGGCAAGCGUUGUCCGGGAUUUAUUGGGCGUAAAGCGAGCGCAGGCGGUUUUUUAAGUCUGAUGUGAAAGCCUUCGGCUCAACCGAAGAAGUGCAUCGGAAACUGGGAAACUUGAGUGCAGAAGAGGACAGUGGAACUCCAUGUGUAGCGGUGAAAUGCGUAGAUAUAUGGAAGAACACCAGUGGCGAAGGCGGCUGUCUGGUCUGUAACUGACGCUGAGGCUCGAAAGUAUGGGUAGCAAACAGGAUUAGAUACCCUGGUAGUCCAUACCGUAAACGAUGAAUGCUAAGUGUUGGAGGGUUUCCGCCCUUCAGUGCUGCAGCUAACGCAUUAAGCAUUCCGCCUGGGGAGUACGGCCGCAAGGCUGAAACUCAAAGGAAUUGACGGGGGCCCGCACAAGCGGUGGAGCAUGUGGUUUAAUUCGAAGCUACGCGAAGAACCUUACCAGGUCUUGACAUACUAUGCAAAUCUAAGAGAUUAGACGUUCCCUUCGGGGACAUGGAUACAGGUGGUGCAUGGUUGUCGUCAGCUCGUGUCGUGAGAUGUUGGGUUAAGUCCCGCAACGAGCGCAACCCUUAUUAUCAGUUGCCAGCAUUAAGUUGGGCACUCUGGUGAGACUGCCGGUGACAAACCGGAGGAAGGUGGGGAUGACGUCAAAUCAUCAUGCCCCUUAUGACCUGGGCUACACACGUGCUACAAUGGAUGGUACAACGAGUUGCGAACUCGCGAGAGUAAGCUAAUCUCUUAAAGCCAUUCUCAGUUCGGAUUGUAGGCUGCAACUCGCCUACAUGAAGUCGGAAUCGCUAGUAAUCGCGGAUCAGCAUGCCGCGGUGAAUACGUUCCCGGGCCUUGUACACACCGCCCGUCACACCAUGAGAGUUUGUAACACC
rnacentral:rRNA from 2 species